GAAGCGGUGGCUCAAUGGUAGAGCUUUUGACUCCAAUUUUCACUUAGUUGUUAUCAAAGGGUUGCAGGUUCAAUUCCUGUCCGUUUCA
rnacentral:tRNA from 1 species